AUUGAACGCUGGCGGAAUGCUUUACACAUGCAAGUCGAACGGCAGCACGGGGCAACCUGGUGGCGAGUGGCGAACGGGUGAGUAAUACAUCGGAACGUGCCCAAUCGUGGGGGAUAACGUAGCGAAAGUUACGCUAAUACCGCAUACGAUCUACGGAUGAAAGCGGGGGAUCGCAAGACCUCGCGCGAACGGAGCGGCCGAUGUCAGAUUAGGUAGUUGGUGGGGUAAAGGCUCACCAAGCCAACGAUCUGUAGCUGGUCUGAGAGGACGACCAGCCACACUGGAACUGAGACACGGUCCAGACUCCUACGGGAGGCAGCAGUGGGGAAUUUUGGACAAUGGGGGGCAACCCUGAUCCAGCCAUUCCGCGUGAGUGAAGAAGGCC
rnacentral:rRNA from 1 species